GCGGUGAAUACGUUCCCGGGCCUUGUACACACCGCCCGUCACACCAUGGGAGUUGGUUCUACCCGACGGCCGUGCGCUAACCUUUUGGAGGCAGCGGACCACGGUAGGAUCAGCGACUGGGGUGAAGUCGUAACAAGGUAGCCCUAGGGGAACCUGGGGCUGGAUCACCUCCUU
rnacentral:rRNA from 14 species